GUCGAGCGCAGGAAGCAAGUUGAUCCCCUUCGGGGGUGACGCUUGUGGAAUGAGCGGCGGACGGGUGAGUAACACGUGGGCAACCUGCCUGUAAGACUGGGAUAACCCCGGGAAACCGGGGCUAAUACCGGAUAAUACUUUCUUUUGCAUAAAGGAAAGUUGAAAGGCGGCUUCGGCUGUCACUUACAGAUGGGCCCGCGGCGCAUUAGCUAGUUGGUGAGGUAACGGCUCACCAAGGCGACGAUGCGUAGCCGACCUGAGAGGGUGAUCGGCCACACUGGGACUGAGACACGGCCCAGACUCCUACGGGAGGCAGCAGUAGGGAAUCUUCCGCAAUGGACGAAAGUCUGACGGAGCAACGCCGCGUGAGUGAUGAAGGUUUUCGGAUCGUAAAACUCUGUUGUUAGGGAAGAACAAGUUGGGUAGUAACUGACCCAACCUUGACGGUACCUAACCAGAAAGCCACGGCUAACUACGUGCCAGCAGCCGCGGUAAUACGUAGGUGGCAAGCGUUGUCCGGAAUUAUUGGGCGUAAAGCGCUCGCAGGCGGUCCUUUAAGUCUGAUGUGAAAUCUCGCGGCUCAACCGCGAACGGUCAUUGGAAACUGGAGGACUUGAGUACAGAAGAGGAGAGUGGAAUUCCACGUGUAGCGGUGAAAUGCGUAGAGAUGUGGAGGAACACCAGUGGCGAAGGCGACUCUCUGGUCUGUAACUGACGCUGAGGAGCGAAAGCGUGGGGAGCGAACAGGAUUAGAUACCCUGGUAGUCCACGCCGUAAACGAUGAGUGCUAGGG
rnacentral:rRNA from 1 species